rfam:Lactobacillus mellifer strain Bin4 genomic scaffold Bin4_scaffold1, whole genome shotgun sequence.
AGUUCGUGUGUUUUUAUCAAACUCAAAUUUAAUAAAAGUAUACGAUAUAAGUUAAUUAACGUAUUUUCUCGCUGUGUUAGACCGAGGAAAUGCGUUUUUUU